UACGGCGGGUGCAAGCGUUAUCCGGAUUCACUGGGUUUAAAGGGUGCGUAGGUGGGCUGGUAAGUCAGUGGUGAAAUCUCCAGGCUUAACUUGGAAACUGCCAUUGAUACUAUCAGUCUUGAAUACCGUGGAGGUCAGCGGAAUAUGUCAUGUAGCGGUGAAAUGCUUAGAUAUGACAUAGAACACCAAUUGCGAAGGCAGCUUGCUACACGAAUAUUGACACUGAUGCACGAAAGCGUGGGGAUCAAACAGG
rnacentral:rRNA from 1 species